rnacentral:rRNA from 1 species
AAAUAAAAAAUUAUUAAUUGUAUUUUGUAAUUUAGAUUUUUAAUAUAAAUAAAUUUAAUUUAAUAGUUUUUUGUAUUAUUUAAAGAUAAAAUAAUUUUUAUUAUAGUAAAUUAGUAUUGAAAAAGAAUUUUGAAAAAUUUAUUAUUUAAUUAAAAGUAAUAUUUAUUUUAUGUACCUUUUGUAUCAGGGUUUAUUAAUUAAAGAUUAAUGAUUUUAUGAUUCUCGAAUUUAAAGGAGCUAGUUUAAUAUGAUAGUUUAUGUGUUAUAAUAAUUAUAAAUAUUAAAUUAGUAAUGAAACGUUAUUCGUCUUUAAAGAUAUCUAGUUUUUUAAGAAAUAAAUUUAAUUUACAUAUUAAUAAUAUAAUGUUUUUUAUUUAAAAAUUAAUUAUUUGUUAAUAUGAAUAUAUUAAGGGAUAAGCUUUAAUUUAUUGGGUUAUAAUUUUAUAAAUUUAAGAAUUAAUUGUAGAUUUAGAAAUAGUUAUCAAUAAAGAUUUUGUAUUAAUUUAUAAAUGUUAUUUAAUGUUUUAUAAAAUUUAAUUUUAGUAUUAAAAUAUAUUUUUUAAUAAUAAAAAAGUAGAAAUAAUGAUGAAAUUAGUAUAUAUUAUUUAUUAAUUUUAAAAUUUAAUAAAAAUUAAUUUAAGGAAUUCGGCAAAAUAAUAUUCACCUGUUUAACAAAAACAUGUCUUUUAGAAAAUAAUUUAAAGUCUAAACCUGCCCACUGAAUAAUUUUGAAGGGCCGCAGUAUUUUGACUGUGCAAAGGUAGCAUAAUCAUUAGUCUUUUAAUUGAAGGCUUGUAUGAAUGGUUGGAUGAAAUAUUAACUGUCUCAAAUUAAUAAAAUAGAAUUUAAUUUUUAAGUUAAAAAGCUUAAAUAAAAUUAGAGGACGAGAAGACCCUAUAGAUCUUUAUAUUUUUAUUUUUAAUUUUUAUUUAGAAUAAAAAAAACAUUUUUAGUAAUAUUAAUAUUUUAUUGGGGUGAUAAUUAAAUUUAAUUAACUUUAUUUAAUAAAAACAUUAAUUUAUGAAUGAUUGAUCCAUUAUUAGUGAUUAGAAGAUUAAGUUACCUUAGGGAUAACAGCGUAAUUUUUUUAGAGAGUUCUUAUCGAUAAAAAAGUUUGCGACCUCGAUGUUGAAUUAAAGAUUAAUUUAGGUGCAGUAGUUUAAAUGUUUGGUCUGUUCGACCAUUAAAUCUUUACAUGAUUUGAGUUCAAACCGGCGUGAGCCAGGUUGGUUUCUAUCCUUAAUAAAAUAAAAUAUUUUAGUACGAAAGGACCAAAUAUUUAGAAAAUUUUUUUUUUGUGAGAAUAUUAUUAAU